AUCUCCAGCAUUGUGUGGGACAUCUGGCAGAGCUGGGUGGGAGUUCACAUGUAUUUGGGCCAUCUCACCAGCUGGACUGUUACUCAGUCCCUGGGGAGCAACUGCUGUGUGCCUGGACCCUCUGCAGCAACCUACAGGUCAAUCGUGAGCUGUGAAUGUGACAGGGCCCCAAACGUGUGCUCCCGUCCUGCAGUUUCAAAGCCAAGGAUGCAGGCCAGGUGAGGUGGCACAUGCCUGUAAU
rnacentral:lncRNA from 1 species